rnacentral:lncRNA from 1 species
CACUGUAGGAGGCCAAGGGCUGAGACAGGGAGACCAGGUCGGGUGCCAUCAAGAUAAUCCAGCAAGAAAUAUUUCCUGAGUCCUUCCUGUGUUCCUGGCCUGUUCUAGACACUGGGCUGCAGCAAUCAACAGGACAGACCGUAGCUUUCUCUCCUGCAGCUUACCUCCGAGGCAGAACUGACAUGUAUUUUCUUGUUUGGUCUUCCUAACAGUCCUAAGGAGACAAGGAAACAGUGAUGUCACCUGCCAAGGAUGCUGACUUCCAAACCCAGUCACCGUCCAGACGAACACUCCCUGCGUACGUCUCUGUCCACCUUCUGGGCAUCCUGCCCUGUGUCCAGGGAGGGGCCUUGGUGCCACCGGGGGAUUUGUGAGGGUGUGGGAAAUACAGCCCCGGGACGCCAGCGGGGCAGGCUGCUGCUGAUUGGGAGGAAAUAGUCAACAUUAAACGCUCACCUGAGUCCUUACGACGUGCCAGAUUUACGUAAGUCUUAAUCCUCACAACGACCCUGUGAAGCAGCUGCUGUAUUCCCACUUUUAG